UUCCCCUUGAUCUCAGCUUUCCAAAAAGUCCAAGAUUAUCUCAUUUGGAUCAAUAUUGAAGGACUUGCGCAUGAGUGUAAUGCAUGGUGUCAUUUGGAGGAUUCUCAUGUUCAAUUUCAUUUGAACAUUGCAUGGCUUAAUAGAUUUCUUUCAGCAUCACAUGUGCACGAUUUUUGACCUUUUCCAAUCAUUCUUUGGGUUUUGUACACGCCCAUGCAAGCGCAUGAUGCAAAUUGCUAUUUUUGGAUUUCAAAUGAAAGUGUGUAAAAAGCAUUUGAAUUGACUAUAAAUACAAGUGCAAUGAGCUCAGAACUUCAUCAAUACCUUGCCCAAGCUUUGCCAAGACGAUUCAAACCCUUCACUCUAUAGAAAUUCUUGAAGAUUUGAUUAAAAUCGAGUUUGAAUUUCACCUUCUGUUUUGAAAUUCAAACUCCAAGAAUUCAUUUCCCUUUUCAUC
rnacentral:lncRNA from 1 species